rnacentral:rRNA from 1 species
UACGUAGGUGGCAAGCGUUGUCCGGAAUUAUUGGGCGUAAAGCGCGCGCAGGUGGUUCUUUAAGUCUGAUGUGAAAGCCCACGGCUCAACCGUGGAAGGUCAUUGGAAACUGGGGAACUUGAGUGCAGAAGAGGAAAGUGGAAUUCCAAGUGUAGCGGUGAAAAUGCGUAGAUAUUUGGAGGAACACCAGUGGCGAAGGCGACUUUCUGGUCUGUAACUGACACUGAGGCGCGAAAGCGUGGGGAGCAAACAGGG